rnacentral:snRNA from 1 species
GGACGUGAGGGCGAUGUGGCUGCGACAUCUGCCACCCCAUUGAUCGCCAGGGCGGCUUGGGCUGAUCCUGCUGGCUAGGCGGGUGUCCCCUUCCUCCCUCACUGCUCCAUGUGCAUCCCUCCCAAAGCUGUGCCCUGGGUCCAAGAGAACACCACCCCCGAUAGAGGAGGAGGAAAGGGUAUACGAGUAGCUGCGCGCCCCUGCUAGAACCACUGAACAAGGUCUCAAAUUUUAAAAAAAUAAAAUAAAAGGUAGUUUAAUCCAGAAGGUCUGGCCCAUGGCUACU